UACAGAGGGUGCAAGCGUUAAUCGGAAUUACUGGGCGUAAAGCGUGCGUAGACGGUCAUGUAAGUCGGGUGUGAAAGCCCCGGGCUCAACCUGGGAAUUGCAUUCGAGACUGCAUGGCUAGGGUGCGGAAGAGGGAAGCGGAAUUUCCGGUGUAGCGGUGAAAUGCGCAGAUAUCAGGAGGAACACCGGUGGCGAAGGCGGGUCUCUGGGCCGAUACUGACGCUGGAGGAGCGAAAGCGUGGGGAGCGAACAGG
rnacentral:rRNA from 1 species